rnacentral:rRNA from 1 species
GACGAACGCUGGCGGCGUGCUUAACACAUGCAAGUCGAACGGAAAGGCCCUGCUUUUGUGGGGUGCUCGAGUGGCGAACGGGUGAGUAACACGUGAGUAACCUGCCCUUGACUUUGGGAUAACUUCAGGAAACUGGGGCUAAUACCGGAUAGGAGCUCCUGCUGCAUGGUGGGGGUUGGAAAGUUUCGGCGGUUGGGGAUGGACUCGCGGCUUAUCAGCUUGUUGGUGGGGUAGUGGCUUACCAAGGCUUUGACGGGUAGCCGGCCUGAGAGGGUGACCGGCCACAUUGGGACUGAGAUACGGCCCAGACUCCUACGGGAGGCAGCAGUGAGGAAUAUUGCACGAUGGGCGGAAGCCUGAUGCAGCAACACCGCGUGCGGGAUGACGGCCUUCGGGUUGUAAACCGCUUUCGCCUGUGACGAAGCGUGAGUGACGGUAAUGGGUAAAGAAGCACCGGCUAACUACGUG